CUACGGGCCGCUCCAGUGAGGAAUAUUGCACAAUGGGGGGAACCCUGAUGCAGCAACGCCGCGUGGAGGAUGACGCCUUUCGGUGUGGAAAAGCCUUUUAUAUGUCAAGAAAAUGACGGUAGCAUAUGAAUAAGCACCGGCUAACUCCGUGCCAGCAGCCGCGGUAAUACGGAGGGUGCAAGCGUUACUCGGAAUCACUGGGCGUAAAGGACGCGUAGGCGGGUUGGAAAGUCAGGUGUGAAAUCCUACAGCUUAACUGUAGAACUGCGCUUGAAACUUCUAAUCUAGAGUAUGGGAGGGGGAGAUGGAAUUAGUGGUGUAGGGGUAAAAUCCGUAGAUAUCACUAGGAAUACCUAAAGCGAAGGCGAUCUCCUGGAACAUUACUGACGCUAAGGCGUGAAAGCGUGGGGAGCAAACAGGAUUAGAUACCCGCGUAGUC
rnacentral:rRNA from 1 species